UACCUAACUGAUUUAUAGUCAGUGCCCCAAUCCCUUAGUUGUCAGACAAACAGGAUUCCACUCUUUUGUCCGUGCACUCAUUCCUGGAUUGUGGGUGGCUAAGCUCAAGAGAGCAGUUGUAAAUAUUUCUGCAGAGCUUGAAAAAAAACAGCUAAUGCAUUAAUAGACGCUUUCCAAAAGUUGCAACGAAAGACUGAUGAAGUAGCAGAAGUAACUUUGCAAAAUAGAUGUGUGCUAAAUGCCAUGAAUGCUGAAUUAGAGAGGGGCUUGUGCUCGCAUUGGGGAAAAAUGUUGCUUUGCUGUUAAUCACUCUGGCUUAAUUGACAAAGAUUUACAAGCUGUUAAGAAUGUUGCUGUUGUUUUCCAUGCUAUAUCUCUUGAUCACACUUUUAGUUUUAAGGACCUCCACUCAGACCUUGGGUCAUGGUUUACUAGCCUCCCCCGUACAAUUGUUAAAUGGAUAUGUGUCCCAAGAGUCCCAUUAUGGUCCUCUAGGGACAAAGGGGGGAUUGUUAGGCCUGAAUAAAGAUAUAGCAGACAAAACCAGGUAUACCAACCUGACCAAAGUCAGGCUAACAGAGGUUUGUGGGUAAUCCCUGAGUGGAAAACACUGAGAAGCAGCAGCAUGUCUCACAAGCGCUGGGAAAAAGUGAGAUAAGAGAGAAGCUGCAUUCCUGGCAUAGUACCAGAUGUGUUGUGUUCGGCCAGCUCCUUCGAAGAACUGAUAAGAGUCCUAGUUUCCCAGCCUCC